GGGGAAUUUUGGACAAUGGGCGCAAGCCUGAUCCAGCCAUUCCGCGUGCAGGAUGAAGGCCUUCGGGUUGUAAACUGCUUUUGUACGGAACGAAACGGCGAGCUCUAAUACAGUUUGCUAAUGACGGUACCGUAAGAAUAAGCACCGGCUAACUACGUGCCAGCAGCCGCGGUAAUACGUAGGGUGCAAGCGUUAAUCGGAAUUACUGGGCGUAAAGCGUGCGCAGGCGGUUAUAUAAGACAGAUGUGAAAUCCCCGGGCUCAACCUGGGAACUGCAUUUGUGACUGUAUGGCUAGAGUACGGCAGAGGGGGAUGGAAUUCCGCGUGUAGCAGUGAAAUGCGUAGAUAUGCGGAGGAACACCGAUGGCGAAGGCAAUCCCCUGGGCCUGUACUGACGCUCAUGCACGAAAGCGUGGGGAGCAAAC
rnacentral:rRNA from 1 species